AGAUGAGAGAUACACCCGCUCACAGGGGACUGUGGGCGACAUCAGGCCGGGGCCUCCCCAGCUCCGGUCUGGCCGUGCCCUCGCGCACACCGGAGCCGUGAGGCUCCGCAUCUCCACCGAUCGGA
rnacentral:ncRNA from 1 species